UUGGAGGGCAAGUCUGGUGCCAGCAGCCGCGGUAAUUCCAGCUCCAAUAGCGUAUAUUAAAGUUGUUGCAGUUAAAAAGCUCGUAGUUGAAUUUCGGGAUCAAUAUGUUGGUCGUGCCUUGGUACGUACUGGCGUCAUUGGUUUCUACCUUCUGAAGAACCUCGAUGUCAUUAAUUUGGUGUCUUGGGGAAUCAGGACUGUUACUUUGGAAAAAUUAGAGUGUUUAAAGCAAGCUCACGCUUGAAUACAUUAGCAUGGAAUAAUGAAAUAGGACGCUCGAUCCUAUUUUGUUGGUUUCUAGGAUUGACGUAAUGAUUAAUAGGGAUAGUUGGGGGCAUUAGUAUUCAAUUGUCAGAGGUGAAAUUCUUGGAUUUAUUGAAGACUAACUACUGCGAAAGCAUUUGCCAAGGAUGUUUUCAUUAAUCAAGAACGAAAGUUAGGGGAUCGAAGACGAUCAGAUACCGUCGUAGUCUUAACCAUAAACUAUGCCGACUAGGGAUCGGAUGAUGUUAAUUUUUUAAUGACUCAUUCGGCGCCUUACGGGAAAC
rnacentral:rRNA from 1 species